rnacentral:lncRNA from 1 species
AUGGAGAUAAACGUAAUAUUAUUCAUGAACGUCCUCCUAAAUUUAAGACUGACAUUCCAAGCCGUAAUUUUGAACGAGCGAAACUUUUGAUUAAUCUUGCUUGGAAUCAAAUAAUGAAUCCAUCAAUGGAAAAUUGAGAUGAAUAGCAAUAAAUGAACCCGAACCAGCAGCAAAACUCAAAUGGCAAACCCAAUUUCGGCUCAAUCGAACUCCAUUUGUUUUUCAGUUUCUUUUCAGAUUUCAGCCGUCUCGUUAAAAAUUCGACCACUAAUAACAAGUGACUCAUAACUUCAUUCGCAUUUUUGUCAUAGACAUGCUUCUCCUCACACUCCCGAUCUCAAAACAGUAUGUGAAUUUUCCAAAUCAAAGAAGCAUGAUCUGUUUGAAUUUCUAAACCAUCACCAAUUACAGAGGUGGAUGCUCGUUGUGGAGGAUUGUUUGCCGCUACUUUUAAUUUAGAUGAUGGGUGACUGACUUUUGGAGUAAGGGUGG